UGUUCAUCUAGCUGAAGCCAAGUUAGACUGAAUGGAAAGCUAAGCCAAAUUGGAUGUUCCUAUAGUCAGAGAAUUGUUCUUGAUGGUCAGUGGAGUGUCAUGGAAUAUUUUUGCUCUGGUGACUGACAUGAAGAUAACAGGAUGGCCUGGAAGAGAAAGGAACUGAAGGAGAAAAUGGGAAAUGACAAGAAAAACUUAUUGCAACAAGAAGCUACUUUUAGAAUACAUCUUAGAAGCUGGAACAAUUCGAGCCUGAACUGACAUCUCACUUGGCAAGCAGAGCAGGUCUUAAGGUUCUCCUCAUUGUACAUCAGAGAAACUGAGUCAUCAACUGGCCAGAAGAGGAAGGGCGCUCCUGACGGGUGUGUGUUCCUGCAGCCCCCUGCAUGUGCCGAGAGCCCCAAGGGCGAGGCUUCCACUAGAGCUAUCAGAAAGAGUUGACCAGGACCCAAAGAAAUGUCCUUAUCCCAGAACCCAGAGAUGAACCCAGAAUUGCUAUAAGGUUCGGAAGUCAAAGAUUGGAAAGCUGCCUCCAGUACUCACAGGUAGGUGAAUAUUC